rnacentral:rRNA from 1 species
GACGAACGCUGGCGGCGUGCCUAAUACAUGCAAGUCGAACGAUGAAGGCGGAGCUUGCUUCUCUGGAUGAGUUGCGAACGGGUGAGUUACGCGUAGGUAACCUGCCUGGUCGCGGGGGAUAACUAUUGGAAACGUAAGCUAAUCCCGCAUAACAGUAGAUAUCGCUUGAUAUCUACUCGAUAGGUGCAAUUGCUUCACUACCAGAUGGAUCUGAGUUGUAUUAGCUAGUUGGUGAGGUAACGGCUCACCAAGGCGACGAUACAUAGCCGACCUGCGAGGGUGAUCGGCCACACUGGGACUGAGACACGGCCCAGACUCCUACGGGAGGCAGCAGUAGGGAAUCUUCGGCAAUGGACGGAAGUCUGACCGAGCAACGCCGCGUGAGUGAAGAAGGUUUUCGGAUCGUAAAGCUCUGUUGUAAGAGAAGAACGAGUGUGAGAGUGGAAAGUUCACACUGUGACGGUAUCUUACCAGAAAGGGACGGCUAACUACGUG